AGCGAACGCUGGCGGCGUGCUUAACACAUGCAAGUCGAACGAGAACGGGUUAUAGCUUGCUAUAAUUGUCAGCUAAGUGGCGCACGGGUGAGUAAUGUAUAGGUAAUAUGCCUCUUACUAAGGGAUAACAAAUGGAAACGUUUGCUAAUACCUUAUACUCCUUAUUAACAGAAGUUAAUAAGGGAAAGAUUUAUUGGUAAGAGAUUAGCCUGUAUUGUAUCAGUUAGUUGGUGGGGUAAUGGCUUACCAAGACUAUGACACAUAACUGGUUUGAGAGGAUGUUCAGUCACACGGGAACUGAGACACGGACCAGACUCUUACGGGAGGGAGCAGUGGGGAAUAUGGCACAAUGGACGAAGGUCUGAGGCAGCAACGCCGCGUGGAGGAUGACACAUUUCGGUGCGUACACUCCUUUGAUAUGAAAAGUUAAUGCCGGUAUUAUCUGCAUAAGCACCGGCGAACUCCGUGCCAGCAGCCGCCGUAA
rnacentral:rRNA from 1 species